rnacentral:rRNA from 1 species
GACGAACGCUGGCGGCGUGCUUAACACAUGCAAGUCGAACGGAAAGGCCCUGCUUUUGUGGGGUGCUCGAGUGGCGAACGGGUGAGUAACACGUGAGUAACCUGCCCUUGACUUUGGGAUAACUUCAGGAAACUGGGGCUAAUACCGGAUAGGAGCUCCUGCUGCAUGGUGGGGGUUGGAAAGUUUCGGCGGUUGGGGAUGGACUCGCGGCUUAUCAGCUUGUUGGUGGGGUAGUGGCUUACCAAGGCUUUGACGGGUAGCCGGCCUGAGAGGGUGACCGGCCACAUUGGGACUGAGAGACGGCCCAGACUCCUACGGGAGGCAGCAGGGGGGAAUAUUGCACAAGGGGCGGAAGCCGGAUGCAGCAACGCCGCGUGCGGGAGGACGGCCUUCGGGUGGUAAACCGCUUUCGCCUGUGACGAAGCGUGAGGGACGGGAAUGGGUAAAGAAGCACGGGAGAACUACGU